rnacentral:rRNA from 1 species
GACGAACGCUGGCGGCGUGCUUAACACAUGCAAGUCGAACGGAAAGGCCCUGCUUUUGUGGGGUGCUCGAGUGGCGAACGGGUGAGUAACACGUGAGUAACCUGCCCUUUACUUUGUGAUAACUUCAGGAAACUGGUGCUAAUACCGGAUAGGAGCUCCUGCUGCAUGGUGGGGUUUGGAAAGUUUCGGCGGUUGGGGAUGGACUCGCGGCUUAUCAGCUUGUUGGUUGGGUAGUGGCUUACCAAGGCUUUGACGGGUAGCCGGCCUGAGAGGGUGACCGGCCACAUUGGGACUGAGAUACGGCCCAGACUCCUACGGGAGGCAGCAGUGGGGAAUAUUGAACAAUGGGCGGAAGCCUGAUGCAGCAACGCCGCGUGCGGGAUGAAGGCCUUCGGGUUGUAAACCGCUUUCGCCUGUGACGAAGCGUGAGUGACGGUAAUGGGUAAAGAAGCACCGGCUAACUACGUG